UGGCCUGGUAGCCCAACGGAAGAGGCCGCCGACUCAGACUCGGCGUGGUGUGGGUUCGAGUCCCACGCAGGUCAU
rnacentral:tRNA from 1 species